AACGAACGCUGGCGGCAUGCCUAACACAUGCAAGUCGAACGAGACCUUCGGGUCUAGUGGCGCACGGGUGCGUAACGCGUGGGAACCUGCCCUUAGGUUCGGAAUAACUCCCCGAAAGGGGUGCUAAUACCGGAUAAUGUCUUCGGACCAAAGAUUUAUCGCCUUUGGAUGGGCCCGCGUUGGAUUAGCUAGUUGGUAGGGUAAAAGCCUACCAAGGCGACGAUCCAUAGCUGGUCUGAGAGGAUGAUCAGCCACACUGGGACUGAGACACGGACCAGACUCCUACGGGAGGCAGCAGUGGGGAAUAUUGGACGAUGGGCGAAAGCCUGAUCCAGCAAUGCCGCGUGAGUGAUGAAGGCCUUAGGGUUGUAAAGCUCUUUUAGCCGGGAUGAUAAUGACGGUACCGGGAGAAUAAGCUCCGGCUAACUCCGUG
rnacentral:rRNA from 1 species